rnacentral:rRNA from 1 species
UAGAGUUUGAUCCUGGCUCAGAAUCAACGCUGGCGGCGUGCCUAACACAUGCAAGUCGAACGAGAAAGGGGCUUCGGCCCUGAGUACAGUGGCGCACGGGUGAGUAACACGUGACUAACCUACCCUCGAGUGGGGAAUAACUUCGGGAAACCGAGGCUAAUACCGCAUAAUACCCACGGGUCAAAGGAGCAAUUCGCUUGAGGAGGGGGUCGCGGCCGAUUAGCUAGUUGGCGGGGUAAUGGCCCACCAAGGCAGUGAUCGGUAUCCGGCCUGAGAGGGCGCACGGACACACUGGAACUGAAACACGGUCCAGACUCCUACGGGAGGCAGCAGUGGGGAAUUUUGCGCAAUGGGGGAAACCCUGACGCAGCAACGCCGCGUGGAGGAUGAAGUCUCUUGGGACGUAAACUCCUUUCGAUCGGGACGAUUAUGACGGUACCGGAAGAAGAAGCCCCGGCUAACU